GUGCUCACUUCAGCAGCAUAUGUACUAAAAUUGAAAUGAUACAGAGAUUAGCAUGGCCCCCUGGGCAAGGAUGACAUGCAAAUUCGUGAAGUGUUCCAUAUUUUU
ensembl:snRNA U6 U6 spliceosomal RNA